ensembl:lncRNA
UACAGAGAGAGCUCAGCCUACAGAGAGAGCUGCAAAGGAAAUGUCAUCCUCAGAGGAAAAUCAGAUUUCCAUUAAGGAUCUCCCUGCCAUGGCUUACUCAUCCUGACCAUUGAAAUCGUUUGUGCCUCUGUGAUGAAAUGUUCCCAGAUGUGCUGUGGCAUGCAUGCUUACCUUAAAAACAUUGUUUUCAAGUAUAUUAGUUCAGUCUGCCUUCCAAGUGUGCCCAUGAAGUGAGUGGAUGAGUAGGCCGUCAUCUGAGGAAAGCUUUUACAGAUGAAGGAUCUGAGCUCAGAGAAGCUAAGCAACUUACCCCACUUUCCACAGCUCGUGACUCUGCUUCUUCUAGUAAACCACACUACCUCGGAGGCCUCAUUCCACAGUCAUCUUCUAUAUUCAAAAGGAAUUCCUGACUUUUGCUUCUUGUCCCUUAAUAUUAUGCCUGAGACCGUCUCCUUGUCUUGGUCAAUUUUCUCUGGCAUAGUGAAUAGAGAGCUGGUGUAACAGUGUUGUAACCUGACAGGUGCAAAGAGAGUAAGUGCCUGGGUUGCCACAACAGAAGGUAAAAACCAUCCUUAGCUCUGCCCACAGGCUCACUAAGUCAUAGGCUCCUCUUGGUGUCACUGAGGCCACCUCAAGUUCCUGGAGCACGGAAAAUGCUCCUAGUAUUUAAACAAUAAAACAAAAUCAUUCAUACAUAGUGUUGACAUUUAGUAGUCAAUUCAAUAAAUGUUCUUGACUAAGUGGUAAUAUAGUAAUUUUUAUUUGUAAUAUGGGUCAUGGGGUAGAGAGGAAGAGAAAUACAGAACAUUUUUCUGUGGUUGAUUCUAUAAGUUUGAAUGGGGAAUCAGAGCAGGAGAAAGUCUAUUUCCAGGACCUUGAACAGAAAUUUCUGGCCAGGCCUGCCACAGACUUGAAGUCCAGCAACCUCAUUGUAGAGACGGGUGAGUUUUGAGGCCCAGCAUGAAGAAAGGAAUUGCCUGAGGUCAUCC